rnacentral:rRNA from 1 species
CACACUAUCAUUAACUGAAUCCAUAGGUUAAUGAGGCGAACCGGGGGAACUGAAACAUCUAAGUACCCCGAGGAAAAGAAAUCAACCGAGAUUCCCCCAGUAGCGGCGAGCGAACGGGGAGGAGCCCAGAGCCUGAAUCAGUGUGUGUGUUAGUGGAAGCGUCUGGAAAGGCGCGCGAUACAGGGUGACAGCCCCGUACACAAAAAUGCACAUAUUGUGAGCUCGAUGAGUAGGGCGGGACACGUGGUAUCCUGUCUGAAUAUGGGGGGACCAUCCUCCAAGGCUAAAUACUCCUGACUGACCGAUAGUGAACCAGUACCGUGAGGGAAAGGCGAAAAGAACCCCGGCGAGGGGAGUGAAAAAGAACCUGAAACCGUGUACGUACAAGCAGUGGGAGCCUCUUUAUGGGGUGACUGCGUACCUUUUGUAUAAUGGGUCAGCGACUUAUAUUCUGUAGCAAGGUUAACCGAAUAGGGGAGCCGAAGGGAAACCGAGUCUUAACUGGGCGUUAAGUUGCAGGGUAUAGACCCGAAACCCGGUGAUCUAGCCAUGGGCAGGUUGAAGGUUGGGUAACACUAACUGGAGGACCGAACCGACUAAUGUUGAAAAAUUAGCGGAUGACUUGUGGCUGGGGGUGAAAGGCCAAUCAAACCGGGAGAUAGCUGGUUCUCCCCGAAAGCUAUUUAGGUAGCGCCUCGUGAAUUCAUCUCCGGGGGUAGAGCACUGUUUCGGCAAGGGGGUCAUCCCGACUUACCAACCCGAUGCAAACUGCGAAUACCGGAGAAUGUUAUCACGGGAGACACACGGCGGGUGCUAACGUCCGUCGUGAAGAGGGAAACAACCCAGACCGCCAGCUAAGGUCCCAAAGUCAUGGUUAAGUGGGAAACGAUGUGGGAAGGCCCAGACAGCCAGGAUGUUGGCUUAGAAGCAGCCAUCAUUUAAAGAAAGCGUAAUAGCUCACUGGUCGAGUCGGCCUGCGCGGAAGAUGUAACGGGGCUAAACCAUGCACCGAAGCUGCGGCAGCGACACUAUGUGUUGUUGGGUAGGGGAGCGUUCUGUAAGCCUGUGAAGGUGGCCUGUGAGGGUUGCUGGAGGUAUCAGAAGUGCGAAUGCUGACAUAAGUAACGAUAAAGCGGGUGAAAAGCCCGCUCGCCGGAAGACCAAGGGUUCCUGUCCAACGUUAAUCGGGGCAGGGUGAGUCGACCCCUAAGGCGAGGCCGAAAGGCGUAGUCGAUGGGAAACAGGUUAAUAUUCCUGUACUUGGUGUUACUGCGAAGGGGGGACGGAGAAGGCUAUGUUGGCCGGGCGACGGUUGUCCCGGUUUAAGCGUGUAGGCUGGUUUUCCAGGCAAAUCCGGAAAACCAAGGCUGAGGCGUGAUGACGAGGCACUACGGUGCUGAAGCGACAAAUGCCCUGCUUCCAGGAAAAGCCUCUAAGCAUCAGGUAACAUCAAAUCGUACCCCAAACCGACACAGGUGGUCAGGUAGAGAAUACCAAGGCGCUUGAGAGAACUCGGGUGAAGGAACUAGGCAAAAUGGUGCCGUAACUUCGGGAGAAGGCACGCUGAUAUGUAGGUGAAGCGACUUGCUCGUGGAGCUGAAAUCAGUCGAAGAUACCAGCUGGCUGCAACUGUUUAUUAAAAACACAGCACUGUGCAAACACGAAAGUGGACGUAUACGGUGUGACGCCUGCCCGGUGCCGGAAGGUUAAUUGAUGGGGUUAGCGGUAACGCGAAGCUCUUGAUCGAAGCCCCGGUAAACGGCGGCCGUAACUAUAACGGUCCUAAGGUAGCGAAAUUCCUUGUCGGGUAAGUUCCGACCUGCACGAAUGGCGUAAUGAUGGCCAGGCUGUCUCCACCCGAGACUCAGUGAAAUUGAAUUCGCUGUGAAGAUGCAGUGUACCCGCGGCAAGACGGAAAGACCCCGUGAACCUUUACUAUAGCUUGACACUGAACAUUGAGCCUUGAUGUGUAGGAUAGGUGGGAGGCUUUGAAGUGUGGACGCCAGUCUGCAUGGAGCCGACCUUGAAAUACCACCCUUUAAUGUUUGAUGUUCUAACGUUGGCCCGUAAUCCGGGUUGCGGACAGUGUCUGGUGGGUAGUUUGACUGGGGCGGUCUCCUCCUAAAGAGUAACGGAGGAGCACGAAGGUUGGCUAAUCCUGGUCGGACAUCAGGAGGUUAGUGCAAUGGCAUAAGCCAGCUUGACUGCGAGCGUGACGGCGCGAGCAGGUGCGAAAGCAGGUCAUAGUGAUCCGGUGGUUCUGAAUGGAAGGGCCAUCGCUCAACGGAUAAAAGGUACUCCGGGGAUAACAGGCUGAUACCGCCCAAGAGUUCAUAUCGACGGCGGUGUUUGGCACCUCGAUGUCGGCUCAUCACAUCCUGGGGCUGAAGUAGGUCCCAAGGGUAUGGCUGUUCGCCAUUUAAAGUGGUACGCGAGCUGGGUUUAGAACGUCGUGAGACAGUUCGGUCCCUAUCUGCCGUGGGCGCUGGAGAACUGAGGGGGGCUGCUCCUAGUACGAGAGGACCGGAGUGGACGCAUCACUGGUGUUCGGGUUGUCAUGCCAAUGGCACUGCCCGGUAGCUAAAUGCGGAAGAGAUAAGUGCUGAAAGCAUCUAAGCACGAAACUUGCCCCGAGAUGAGUUCUCCCUGAGACUUAGAGUCUCCUGAAGGAACGUUGAAGACGACGACGUUGAUAGGCCGGGUGUGUAAGCGCAGCGAUGCGUUGAGCUAACCGGUACUAAUGAACCGUGAGGCUUAACCUU